AGCGCCUCCAGGACAUUAAGCAGAGCCCGGGGGGGAGGACUGGAAGCAGGAGGUCGGAUACUGAGGACAACGAUCCUGUUCGCCGAACGGCGACCUGGGAACAGGGCAGGGAUAUUUUCGUGUCCGGCGCAGAAACCGAGCUCCGAAGAAGAGGAAUAAGGCAUGUGAACUCAGGGAUGCCUCUUAGGCUGAUUGGACUGUACCCUUCCGUCUUCUCCUCUUCCGGCUUUUCUUCCUUCUCCCUCCCCGCUCGUGUCUUUGUGUCAGGCUCUGCAGAGCUGGUGGAAGGGCCUGUUAAUUUGUGGUCCGCCCCUUCAGUGGAUUUAAAGGGUCACCUAAUGCCCUGGUUCAGUCCAAAGUAGUCUCAAUUUAUACUGUUCCUUCAAGGUCGUGGUUUUGUUUUUGCUUAAGGAUUCUGAGAGGCCUAGAAAUAUGUAAGUACUAAAGCACUAGGUAAUAGAUGGAAAGCAGAUUGUAUGGCAAUGUGGUAGCAUGGCAUAAGCCCCCUUCUGGGCCGGCUUUACUUCAUUCAUGCUUUUCCAAACCAGGGUUCCUGAGGGUAUUAUGUAUACCCAGUUGGGAGCAUCCCAUCCACCCAGAAGGAGCCAGUCUAGGCCCCAGCUGGGCCAAGCACAGCUAUAUGUUUGACAAUGUAAUAACUUUGAAGCAAUGUAUUGUCACAAGUCUACAAGUCAAACAUGUAGGUCAAAUAGUAAGAGACAUGGGCGAGCACAGAAGGAAGCAACCCCUGUGGGCCGGAGGCGUCGAGGAAGAUCUCUUAAAGGACAGGGGAACUGGUGGGGACUUGAAGGGAUGAGGAACUCCUGAGUGGUUGGCAUGAAUUAUGUAGGGGUGAGCAUCAGUCAAUCAGUAUCUACCUCAGUUUGGAGAGAAACACAUUCUAGGGAGUGUCCCCAGGGUGCGCUGAGGGCUGUAAGCUAACCACACUGUUAGAUAUUGAGGGCUCAUAGGAGAAAUAGUUGGAAAGGUAAAUUAAGACCAGUUUGCUGAGGGCCUUGAACACCAAGCAAAAAAAAAUGUUGCAAUUGAUCCUGUGGGCCAGAGUUUCCCACAAGUAUGCGGUCACACUGGUAUAAGCUAAUGGGUUAAAAGUGAGUGGAGGUAUUGACCCACUUCAGGGAGGCUGGGGGCCGGGAGGUGCUGGAGGUCCCAGGCCAGGGACUUCUACUCAACAGGCUCCUUUGUUUAUCCCACUGUCCAUGGAGAUAUUAUCAUAGGCCGUAUUUGCCAUGACUUGGAAAUGGUUGGCUGUCACUGCUCUAUAGGCAUGAGUUGCUAAAGAUAUUUGGACACUUGUGUGAUAUUUUGAGUUGUAAUUUUAUUUGCUUCCCCAGCUGGGCUAUAAACUCCUCCAGGAGAGGAACUCUGUCGUUUCUCUUCUGUUGUCCUCGCUUUCCCGCAUGAGGAGUAAAUGCUCAAGAGAUACUUAAUAGUUUGAGUGAUUGAAUAUUAUGGCCUUAGAAAACUAAACUUCACAAAUCAUCUGAGAGGGAUGACUGCUCUGUCAGCUUCUAAGAAGCCUCAGACAUCAUAAAAGUCGGAGUGGGACUAACUCUAAGACGUAGGUCGGAAACCUGUGCUUCAAAGGAAUGUGAAAACAUUUCUGCUGGGGGUCACAUUUAGAACUGUCAAGAAAGAAAAGAUCAGAGAGUCUCAAAAGGUUAAUAGUGUAAAGGGAUAAUUCUCUGGGUCAGGACCUGGGCGUUUGCACUUGAAGAAUCAAGUCUGACUCAUUUGCAUGUUAGAAACCUCCUGAUCAUAAUUCUGGUGAUAUUCUAUUCAGCGGUCAUCAGAAUAACAAUAUUUUCAUCCUUAUUAAUCUUUCUUCAUUCUUAAGUGGGGGUGGGUCAUGAAGUUCCCCCUAAAGGGAAAGGGAUGUGAACAGGCUGGCAGUCCCUCAAGAUAUUAAGCAUAGAAUUACCAUAAGACCCAGUAAUUCCAUUCCUAGGUAUCUACCCAGGAGAAAUGAAAACAUAUGUCCACACAAAAAUUUGUAUAUGCAUAGUGGCAUUAUUAUAGCUAAAAAGUGGAAACAACUCAAAUGUCCAUAAACUGGUGAAUGGACAAGUAAAAUAUGGUAUAUCCAUGCAAUGGAAUAUAAUCCAGCAAUGAAAAGGAAUUAAGUACUGAUAUAUGCUACAACUUGAAAGCAUGUUAGUGAGACAAGCCAUUCAUAAGGGACCACAAGUUGUAUGAUUCCACUUCUAUGAAAUGUCUAGAAUAGUCAAAUUUAUAGACAGCAAGCAGAUUGAUGGUUGCCUAGGGCUGAAGUGGGGUGGGAGAAGCGGGAGUGAUUGCCAAUAGGUAUGGAAUUUCUUUUUGAGAUGAUGAAAAUGUUCUGAAAUUAGAUUAUGGUGAUGGCUGCACAACUCGGUGAAUAUUCUAAAAAGCAUUGCAGAAAAGUUAACAUGAUGCUACAAAGGAGAGGAUCUAAUCACAGUGAAGGGAGAGUUGCUCGAGCUUAGCGGUCAAGGGGCUUUAACCCAAGGACUUGUUUUCCCAGAUUUCUCCAAAGGAGAACCAAGGUGGGGCAGGUGGAAUAAGGGGCAGGUGGAAAGGACUGACAACACAACUAACCCUAAAGAGAAAGAGGAUGAAGGGUGACGGUCAGGUUAGCGUGGAAAAAAGGAGGUUAGUAGAGCAAGUUAGUGCUCUUGAGGGAAGGAAAGGGCAACAAACCAUAACCAGCUUUUCUCUUCUCUCGCGAGAUCCUGGUCGGUUUCACGUGGGAGCGACCCAGCAGCGCCCCCUAGAGACCAGAUCCUCCUGGCAUGUUCAGCUACUAGACGGCCACCCUCUCUUCUUUAAAGGCAGAUGCAAACUACCUUCCUGUGGGAAUAUGUGAAAGGAACAAGACAAGAAUGCUCAGCCAGGAGAGAGAUGUGUUUAAAGAAGAAUUAACAAUAUAUGAUGGAGAAUUCCCUGGUGGUUCAGUGGUUAGGACUCGGAGAUUUCACUGCCGGGGCCUGUGUUCUAUCCCUGGUCAGGGAACUAAGAUCCUGCAUGCCUCGCAGUGCGGCCCCAAAACAACAACAACGACAGCAACAAAACAAUGUAUGGUGGAGAUUAAGGUCCAGACUUUUCCCCGGACUCCCUCCCGGCUAGCCGUGGUGCACUAACCCCUUCAGGCUGUGUUCACGCUGCCAGUCCUCUCCCUGCGCUCCGACUGAAGCCCGAGCCUCAACUCCCAGCCCCGAGCGCCCUGGCGGGAGGGCACAGAAAGAAGACAGCCAUCUAUGAAUCAGGAAGUAGGCCUUCAUGAGGGACCAAAUGGGCCAGCACCUUGAUCUUGGACUUAGCAGCCUCCAGAACUGUGAGAAAUAAAAGUCUGUACUUUAAGCCGCUCAGCCUGUAAUAUUUUGUUACAGUAGCCAGAGGAGCCUAAGACAGUCAUGCUGAAUAGGAUUUGUAUGGGCUUUUCUAUUCUGUGGAAGAAUUAAA